rnacentral:rRNA from 1 species
UGGUCAAGUUAUUAAGGGUGCAGGGCGGAUGCCUUGGCACUAGGAGCCGAUGAAGGACGUGAUAAGCUGCGAUAAGCUUCGGGGAGUUGCACGUAAACUUUGAUCCGAAGAUUUCCGAAUGAGGAAACUCACUUAGAGUAAUGUCUAAGUAUCAUUAAGUGAAU